rnacentral:piRNA from 1 species
UGAGCUUCAUGGUGAACACAUUCUUGU